UACGUAGGGUGCAAGCGUUAAUCGGAAUUACUGGGCGUAAAGCGUGCGCAGGCGGUGAUGUAAGACAGAUGUGAAAUCCCCGGGCUCAACCUGGGAACUGCAUUUGUGACUGCAUCGCUGGAGUACGGCAGAGGGGGAUGGAAUUCCGCGUGUAGCAGUGAAAUGCGUAGAUAUGCGGAGGAACACCGAUGGCGAAGGCAAUCCCCUGGACCUGUACUGACGCUCAUGCACGAAAGCGUGGGGAGCAAACAGG
rnacentral:rRNA from 1 species